ensembl:lncRNA
AAGAGCUAUGGACGAAUGGACUCCACUCUAACCUCACCUAAACUGUGCCGGGCUACCUUUUUGUAUUUUUACAUGAGAAUCAGGAAAAGAUACUGUGGUGGCGGGUUGUGGUUAGCUCAUCUGCAGAGGGGAGAGUGGGGGAGUGGUUCAGAGAACAGUGCCGGCAGCUUUAUCUGCUCCGGUAGCCACAGCAACAACCCAUUCUCCAAGAGACCACACCAGAGGUAAUAUUGCUGCUGUGUCCACUGGAACUGCUCUCCAUCGCCGCCCGCUCUUCUCUCAUCAGCGGGAUUAUAAAUCAUUCCUUCAGCUUCACUCCUACUUUGGCUUAGCUGAUGAGAAACUUUGACGCAUUGACUUUACUUCUUCUCGAGAAGCACGUUAUUCUGUAAUUGGAUGUUGGUUAAGCAUUAGAGCAAGAAAAAUGUAUCUGUUUUUAUAUUUCUUCAAUUGAAGCUUGUAUUAUAAGAGAAAUAAAUUGCUUUUAUAAUUAUUAAUGGACUGUGUAUUUUCAAGAUCACUGUGGCCAACAGAUUAUGCAAAACGAAGAAUAUCCUCAGUGAACCUCGUCAAUGAAACUGACAUGGCAUUUCAUUUUCUCAUUUAAAUC